rnacentral:rRNA from 1 species
GACGAACGCUGGCGGCGUGCUUAACACAUGCAAGUCGAACGGAAAGGCCCUGCUUUUGUGGGGUGCUCGAGUGGCGAACGGGUGAGUAACACGUGAGUAACCUGCCCUUGACUUUGGGAUAACUUCAGGAAACUGGGGCUAAUACCGGAUAGGAGCUCCUGCUGCAUGGUGGGGGUUGGAAAGUUUCGGCGGUUGGGGAUGGACUCGCGGCUUAUCAGCUUGUUGGUGGGGUAGUGGCUUACCAAGGCUUUGACGGGUAGCCGGCCUGAGAGGGUGACCGGCCACAUUGGGACUGAGAUACCGCCCAGACUCCUACGGGAGGCAGCAGUGGGGAAUAUUGCACAAUGGGCGGAAGCCUGAUGCAGCAACGCCGCGUGCGGGAUGACGGCCGUCGGGUUGUAAACCGCUUUCGCCUGUGACGAAGCGUGAGUGACGGUAAUGGGUAAAGAAGCACCGGCUAACUACGUG